UCCAGCGGUAGUCAGCUGCCUGUUGCUGCUCAGUGCCUGUGGUAGUGUUAUGCUGCUGGGAGAGAAAAGUGCUGCCGAGUUACUCCUGGCACCGCCGGGGCUGUUCUGGUGCUGGAUGGUGCCAGGUUGGGCAGCACUCUGCAUGCCUGAGAGUGGAGUAACUCCUCCCGGUGGAGCUAAUCCUAGAUCGGAUGCAGACAAC
rfam:Calypte anna contig71259, whole genome shotgun sequence.